rnacentral:rRNA from 1 species
ACGCAGCAGUGGGGAAUUUUGGACAAUGGGCCCAAGCGUGAUCCAGCCAUGCCGCGUGAGAGAAGAAGCCUCGAGGGUUGUAAAGCUUUUUUGUCGGGAAAGAAAUAAUUCUUUUUAAUAGGGGGGGAUGAUGACGGUACCGGAAGAAUAAGCCCCGGCUAACUACGUGCCAGCAGCCGCGGUAAUACGUAGGGCGCGAGCGUUUUUGGGAAUUACUGGGCGUAAAGCGCGCGCAGGCGGUUUUAUAAGACAGGUGUGAAAUCCCGGGGCUCAACCGGGGAACUGCAUUUGAGACUGCAAGUCUAGAGUGCGGGAGAGGGGGGGGGAAUUCCGGGUGUAGCGGUGAAAUGCGUAGAUAUGGGGAAGAACACCGGUGGAGAAGGCGGCCCCCUGGGCCGACACUGACGCUGAGGCAAAAAAGCGUGGGGAGCAAACAGGAUUAGAUACCCUGGUAGUCCACGCCAUAAACGAUGUCAACUAGUUGUUGGAAAGGUUCAUUCUCAGUAACGCAGCAACGCGU